rnacentral:rRNA from 1 species
CACGGGGGGAGCAAGCGUUGUCCGGAAUUAUUGGGCGUAAAGAGCUUGUAGGCGGUUUGUCGCGUCUGCUGUGAAAAUCCGGGGCUCAACCCCGGACUUGCAGUGGGUACGGGCAGACUAGAGUGUGGUAGGGGAGACUGGAAUUCCUGGUGUAGCGGUGAAAUGCGCAGAUAUCAGGAGGAACACCGGUGGCGAAGGCGGGUCUCUGGGCCGUAACUGACGCUGAGGAGCGAAAGCAUGGGGAGCGAACAGG